GAUGAACGCUAGCGGGAGGCUUAACACAUGCAAGUCGAGGGGCAGCAUGGUGUAGCAAUACACUGAUGGCGACCGGCAGACGGGUGAGUAACGCGUAUGUAACCUACCCUGUACAGGGGGAUAACCCGGAGAAAUUCGGACUAAUAUCCCAUAAGAUUAUGAGAGGGCAUCUGAUUAUAAUUAAAGUUCCGGCGGUACGGGAUGGGCAUGCGUAACAUUAGCUAGUUGGUAAGGUAACGGCUUACCAAGGCAGUGAUGUUUAGGGGUCCUGAGAGGGUGAUCCCCCACACUGGUACUGAGACACGGACCAGACUCCUACGGGAGGCUG
rnacentral:rRNA from 1 species